GGGGCAGAACAAACUGUCUUCUCUGUAGCAGCUGCCUUACACCACCAUAUAACUUGUAGGCUUCAAGAUCAUGUCAUAGAUUUAUCUCAGUCAAGAGUGUCCUCUGAUGCUCUAUUCAUCCUUGCAGACACAAAAACCACACCCACUAUUGUUUAGAUUCCUCGACAACUGUCUAAAGAAGAUUUGGUAAAGAUCAUUCCACGGGAAUGGUUUACCAACUAUGAAAAGUUGCAUGAUAAUUCCCGACCUAUCCAAGUGACAGAGCCUACAUUUCAUAGGUAAGCAAAUGGUACUGUUAAGACAGUUUUCAAGGAACUAGGAAGCAAUUCAUAAACUCUUGCAAUCUUCCAAACCAUGAUGAUCUCUUCAGUGUAAGGAAAAAGAGAAAAGAUUCCUGUUCACUCCUUUCGGGCAGAUGGAUGGCCAGUCUAUACAGAUAAAAUUCAUGGACAUUUCAUUUAGGAUGCUCUAGGUUCAGGAAUGUGUGAUGAAGGAUGUGACUGUCACCUAGAACAAUGGGAUGAUGAUGAUGACAGUUAUCGCAGUCGCAAGAAAGGGAAAAAGAAGCAAGACUCUCUCUGCAAAACCCUGAAACCUAGAAGGGACUCCUUUCCAGA
rnacentral:misc_RNA from 1 species